CUAAGGAAUGGAAAGCAGCACAUCCCGGCUUCACCACACACAAGGGCCGGCAGUGCAGUUCACAUAGUCUCUGAACUCCCUUUACUGAUCACUCAGUUAACCCACAGGGGUUCCUAAGUAGUCCAGGGGUUUGGGGAAGGGGUGUUAUCCUCCAGCAUGCUGGCAUCUGGCAAGGAGCUUAGAACAGGGGAAGCCAUGCCUUUCUGUGGGUAGAAUACACCAGAGGACUCAGAUUUGUUCCCAUCUGUCUUAGGGGAGCCUCAAUAGCUGUGUUGAGCUUGUGGGGUGUUUCUGUGGCCCAAAGCAUAAUGGGCAGGUGGGUAUAGAGGGUCAUGAGUUCAGGGUCUGGGAGAGCCUCUAUUUUGGGAGAGCCCAGGAAAUGGGGGCCAGUCAUCUGUUGAAUUAAUGCUGUAUAACAUGAGGCCAGAAAUCCUGGGGCAACUGAUGGCCGUGCUCAAUGAUCAAGAGACUGUAGGCAGCAUUUGGUCCCCUAUUUCCUUUUUUUUUUUUUUCCUUUUUUCCUUUUAAGUAUGAUCUUCAGAACAGCUUGUAUUUCUAGGUGGCUAAAAUAAACAUUUUUCUUCCUUCCUCUCUCUGGAUGUUUACCUGACAAUCUCCUGGUGGUAUGAGUAGCCUUCUGGUGUUCUGUCCUUACAGAUUGUCACACGAAAAAAUUGGGGCGGUGUGGGGGUGACCUCUGUAUCUGCUGGCCUUGCAGGCAGCGGCUUCCUUUUCCAGGGUGACCCACUGGAGCUCUGGAGGUGGUGGGAAGCGGGUAGCGAGGAGCGACAGCAGCAGGAACCGACAAGGGAGGCACACACUCUCCCGGGGCCCGUGGGACGCAGGUGAAGUUACCCCCAUUGAGGUUAGGGUUAGGCCAUCUAAUCCUUUCGCGCUGGCUCCAUUUUAUCAACACAGUGAAGCCUAGUGUCGCAUCACCCUUUCCGACUGUGGCUAAGGAGAAAUCGCUGCCUCCCGGAAGCCUGCUGAUGGGUUGUCCAAAAGCAGCGCGCCGCGGUGCCCUUCGCCACGGACAGGUCCGCCCCGCACCGAGGCCCCAGGCCACGCAAGGGCGCACCCGGCUCAAGAGACAAGGCAUCCUCCACCGGAGGCCGGCGACCGAGAGUCCCCACGGUCCCAGGAGGGGGUCUGAUUCUGCAAAGGGAAACACAUCCUCCUACCACCGGGACCUGCCCUCCGCGCUGCAGGCAAAGAGUCGGAUACAGCCGCCGCAAUUCCGGAGAGUCCCGGAGGCGACACAGACACCGACGACAGCAGGACCCCGUAGCGCGCAGCGGCGAGCAGCGAGAUCCAGCGCCAGCAAGCCAGCGCGCAGACCAGACCUACUGGGCCAGCUGAUACGGCAAGGACGAGCAUCUGGUGUAUUAGCAUUCUCAUUGGUGGACAUGAUUAUGAGACAGAGGAAGAAAGCUGUGAAACGGGCCUGGGCUUCCACAGGAGGCUAUGCGGGGAUCGGCAGCUGUGGGGUGGCUGGGCUGAAAGCGACCACCUUGGCUCCGACUGAUUCCAUAUCUUCUGGAAGGUAUCCACUGGGUUCUUCCCGCCUGCUGCACAAACAACGUUCAUCUGCUGAGACCAUGACAUUGCAGUGAAGAAAGGGUUUAAUUAACACUUGGCUGGCCAUGCCACAUGGAAGACAGUUGUUACUCAAAUCAAUCUCCCCAGAAAUUUGUAGACUAGGGUUUUCCAAGGAGAGUUUGUUGGCCAAAGGGGUCCAGAAGGGGGCAUGGUGAUUGGUUGAGGAUGCAGUUAUGGGGUGUGGAAAAUGAUCCUCAUGUGCUGAGGCUGUUUCUGAGUGGGGUUUACUACAGGAGUCCAGGUCCAAUGUCUAGGUCCAUGUGAAACCAUCUUGGUUGUCAGAAAUGCAAAGCCUUAAAAGACAUCUCAAAAGGUCAAUCUUAGGUUCUACAAGAGUGAUGUUAUCUGCAGGAGUAAUUGGGGACGUUGUAAAUUUUGGGAUCUCCAGAAUAAUGACUAGUAAUUAUCUAACUAGGCCUACAUCUAGGAGAAUUCAGGUGCCUUUCAUCCUCCUAACUUUGUGGCCUUUCGUUAGUUUUACAAAGGAAGUUUAGGUUUUGGGAAGGGCCAUUAUCAUUUAAACUGUAAACUAAAUUUCUCCCAAAGUAAGCUUGGUCUAUACCCAGGAAUGAAUGAAGGCAGCCAGCCUGUGAGGCUAGAAGCAGGAUGAACUCAGCCACAUCGGGUAUCUCUUAUUGUCGUAGUUUUGCAAAGGCAGUUUCAGUUUUGGUGCCACAUUUGAGAAAUAUUUUGCCUCUUCUAAGCUCAUGAAGACAUUAUCCUAUAUUUCUUACAGAAACUUGAUUUUCUCAGCUUUCAUGAAGUAGGGGGCCAAGGGUUCUUGUUUAUAUGCCUGGUGCGGUGACCCAGCACCACGUACCUUUCCCACUGAAUUGCAAUGGAGUUCCCUCUCUCCCCUUUAAGGUGUGGGAGACUUGUGGGUCUGUUUCCGAACUCCUCUUCCUAUUGCACUGGUCUGUCUCCAUAUUCUAGAAUCAGUACUGCACUGUCUUAAUUUCUGUAGUUUUCUAAAAGGCUUUCUAUUCAUGGUUUAAAUAUGUGAGCUUUGGUCUACUUCCCUAUGUCCUUGGGCAUCUAGGCUCUUUGUAUUUCCAUACACAUUUUAGAAUCAGCUUGUCUGCUUGGAGUGAGCCUAGCCAGUGGGGAAAAAAAAGAAGAAUCAGCUUGUCAAUUCCGCCCCCCCCCGCCCCCCCCACCAACACAACAACAGAAAACCAAGGGAGUUUUACUGGGAUUACUUUUAAUUACAUUGAAUCUAUAGAUCAAUUUUGGGAGAAUUGACAUCUUAACAACAUUGAGUUUCCAGUCAAUGAACAGGAUACAUCUUAUUUACUUAAGUAUUUCAAACAUUUUCUUAUUAAUGUUUUGCAGUUUUUGGUAUAAAAGUUUUACACACUUCUCAUUACAUUUAUAUAGUGACCUUGAUAAAUUAUUUUAUGAAUAGUCUGUUUCUAGGUUUAUUUGAAUUUUACCAGUUGGUUUUUCUCAUUUGUUUUGUUAAUACGAACAACCACAUUGACUUUUAAAUGUUAAACUACCCUUUUAUUCCUGAAAUAAACUACCCUUGUUCAAGAUGUAUUAUCCUUUUUCAUAUGUACUUGCAUUCGAUUUACCAAAAUUUUCUCCUAUGUUCAUGAAAUAUAUUAGUUUGUGGUUUCCUUUUUUAAAAUAAUGCACUUGUAGGGUUAGAAAUAAAAAUUCUGAUGGC
rnacentral:lncRNA from 1 species